GUGUAGCGGUGAAAUGCUUAGAUAUCACGAAGAACUCCGAUUGCGAGGGCAGCUUGCUGGACUGUAACUGACGCUGAUGCUCGAAAGUGUGGGUAUCAAACAGGAUUAGAUACCCUGGUAGUCCACACAGUAAACGAUGAAUACUCGCUGUUUGCGAUAUACAGUAAGCGGCCAAGCGAAAGCGUUAAGUAUUCCACCUGGGGAGUACGCCGGCAACGGUGAAACUCAAAGGAAUUGACGGGGGCCCGCACAAGCGGAGGAACAUGUGGUUUAAUUCGAUGAUACGCGAGGAACCUUACCCGGGCUUGAAUUGCAACUGAAUGAUGUGGGGACAUGUCAGCCGCAAGGCAGUUGUGAAGGUGCUGCAUGGUUGUCGUCAGCUCGUGCCGUGAGGUGUCGGCUUAAGUGCCAUAACGAGCGCAACCCUUAUCGAUAGUUACCAUCAGGUUAUGCUGGGGACUCUGUCGAGACUGCCGUCGUAAGAUGUGAGGAAGGUGGGGAUGACGUCAAAUCAGCACGGCCCUUACGUCCGGGGCUACACACGUGUUACAAUGGGGGGUACAGAAGGCAGCUACACGGCGACGUGAUGCUAAUCCCGAAAGCCUCUCUCAGUUCGGAUUGGAGUCUGCAACCCGACUCCAUGAAGCUGGAUUCGCUAGUAAUCGCGCAUCAGCCACGGCGCGGUGAAUACGUUCCCGGGCCUUGUACACACCGCCCGUCAAGCCAUGAAAGCCGGGGGUAAAAGAAGUGCGUAACCGCAAGGAGCG
rnacentral:rRNA from 1 species